GAGAGUAGAAGCAAAGAGGAGAAAGCUGUCGCACUGUAAAUGCGGAGGAGAAAUCCAAAUGUAGGUUCGAGUCCUAUCUCUCUCA
rnacentral:tRNA from 1 species